rnacentral:rRNA from 1 species
UAGGGAAUAUUGGGCAAUGGGCGCAAGCCUGACCCAGCAACGCCGCGUGAGGGAAGAAGGUUUUCGGAUUGUAAACCUCUGUCUUCGGGGACGAAAAUGACGGUACCCGAGGAGGAAGCCACGGCUAACUACGUGCCAGCAGCCGCGGUAAUACGUAGGUGGCAAGCGUUGUCCGGAAUUACUGGGUGUAAAGGGAGAGUAGGCGGGAUUGCAAGUCCGUUGUUAAAUCUAUCGGCUUAACCGGUAGCUGCGGCGGAAACUGUAGUUCUUGAGUGAAGUAGAGGCAGGCGGAAUUCCUAGUGUAGCGGUGAAAUGCGUAGAUAUUAGGAGGAACACCAGUGGCGAAGGCGGCCUGCUGGGCUUUAACUGACGCUCAGGUGCGAAAGCGUGGGGAGCAAACAGGAUUAGAACCCUGGUAGU